GGCCCAAGCCCGGGCCUUUGAUACGCCUGUGGAGACGUCGUCGCCUCGAUCGUGGGAUCCAGCACGCGCCGUCUCGGCGUGCUUCGGCACCUGCGUGCUCCGGGCGUCGGCCUGCGGGCUCCCCAUUCGGCCCGUCUUGAAACACGGACCAAGGAGUCUAACAUGUGUGCGAGUCAACGGGCUAGAAAACCCGUAAGACGUAAGGAAGCUGAUUGGAGGGAUCCCUCACGGGUACACCACCGACCGACCUUGAUCUUUUGAGAAGGGUUUGAGUGAGAGCAUGCCUGUCGGGACUCGAAAGAUGGUGAACUAUGCCUGAGCGGGGCGAAGCUAGAGGAAAGUCUGGUGGAGGCCCGCAGCGAUACUGACGUGCAGAUCGUUCGUCUGACUUUGGUAUAGGGGCGAAAGACUAAUCGAACCGUCUAGUAGCUGGUUCCCUCCGAAGUUUCCCUCAGGAUAGCUGGAGCCCUUAGCGAGUUUUAUCGGGUAAAGCCAAUGAUUAGAGCAUCGAGGGCGCAAUGCCCUCGACCUAUUCUCAAACUUUAAAUAGGUAGGAUGGUGCUUCUGCUUCGUUGAGUCGCGCCACGGAAUCGAGAGCUCCAAGUGGGCCAUUUUUGGUAAGCAAAACUGGCGAUGCGGGAUGAACCGGAAG
rnacentral:ncRNA from 1 species